GCCAGGUGUGGUGGCUCACACCUGUAAUCCCAGCACUUUGGGAGGCUGAGGCAGGUGGAUUACCUGAGGUCAGGAGUUCUAGACCAGCCUGUCCAACAUGGUGAAACCCUGUCUCUA
ensembl:misc_RNA Metazoa_SRP Metazoan signal recognition particle RNA